rnacentral:rRNA from 1 species
ACGCUCGACACCUACGGGAGGCAGCAGUGGGGAAUAUUGCACAAUGGGGGAAACCCUGAUGCAGCGACGCCGCGUGAGCGAAGAAGUAUUUCGGUAUGUAAAGCUCUAUCAGCAGGGAANAAAAUGACGGUACCUGACUAAGAAGCCCCGGCUAACUACGUACCAGCAGCCGCGGUAAUCUGGAGCGGGCUGGCAAGGC